UCCCUAUCUGUCGUGGGCGCAGGAUAUUUGAGAGGAGCUGUCCUUAGUACGAGAGGACCGGGAUGGACAUACCACCGGUGCACCGGUUGUUCCGCCAGGAGCACAGCCGGGUAGCCGCGUAUGGAAGUGAUAAACGCUGAAAGCAUCUAAGCGUGAAACACACCUCAAGAUAAGAUAUCCCAUAGCUUAAGCUAGUAAGGUCACUUGAAGACUACGAGUUUGAUAGGUCAGAGGUGGAAGUGCAGUAAUGCAUGUAGCUGACUGAUACUAAUAGACCGAGGGCUUGAACAAG
rnacentral:rRNA from 1 species